AUGUCAAGCCAGACAGCCAUCUUCUUCUACGGCAAGCCGGCGCCCUUCUCCCUGGCCUGCCUCUUCCGCUCCUCCUGCGCGAUCCUGUCCCUCUCCUUGGUCGCCGCCUCGACGUCGUCCCACGUCGAGUGCUCCUCCGCCGUGCUCUCUGAACCGACCUUCUCCUUCACCCCUUGCGCGGCUUCCUUUGUGGCUUCCCAGGCGCCCUGCGCCGCCUGCUUCGCCUUCUCGCCGAGCGCCUGCGCUGUCUCGGCCACCUUGCUCGCGCCCUCCUUGGUCAUCUCCGCCACCUUCUCCCCGGCGCUCCUGGUGCCCUCCGCGGCCCUGUCCUUGGCCUCGCCGGCCUUGUCCAUGGCGCCCUCCGCCACCUCCGCGGUCUUCUCCUUGGCCGCGCCCGCCGUCUCCUUGGCCUUGUCGAUCGCCUGCCCCGUCGUCUCCUUGGCCCUCUCCUUCAUUUCCCCCGCCUUGUCCGCGGCCUGGCUUGCCGUCUCCUUGGUCUCGUGCUUGGCCUUCUCCGUCAUGCGGGAGGCCCUCUCUGCGGCUUCCUCCGCCGUCUCCUUGGCCCUAUCCUUCAUCUCCCCCGCCUUGUCCGCGGCCUGGCUUGCCGUCUCCUUGGUCUCGUGCUUCGCCUUGUCCGUCAUGCGGGAGGCCUUCUCGGCGGCGUCGCCGGCCCUGCCCUUGGUCUCGUCGGCCAUGCGCGACGCCUGGUCCUUCGCGCUCUCCUUGGCAUGGCCGGUGGCGUCCUUGGCCUGCUCCGCCGCGCCCCUGUACUUGUCCUUGAUCUCCCUCCGGUCGUCCGGCGAGUUGUUAUACGCCUGCCGACGCACGAACCAAAGCCGGCGAGCACGCAUGUCAGCAUGCACCUCCAGAGAAAAAUCGUGGCAUGGCAGACGAGCCAAACUGAACUUCGUAUACUUACCUGCGACGAUCUCGGGGCGGUCUGCAAGCAGAUGGGGCUCCAGUUCGCGGCAUGCGGCCGGGGAGCGAGGAAGCAAGGCUUAG
rnacentral:rRNA from 1 species